GACGAACGCUGGCGGCGUGCUUAACACAUGCAAGUCGAGCGAUGAAACUACUUCGGUAGUGAAUUAGCGGCGAACGGGUGAGGAACACGUGAGGAAUCUGCCUUCUACACUGGGAUAACUCCGGGAAACCGGGGCUAAUACCGGAUAUGAAACUUGGUGGCAUCACCGAGUUUGGAAAGUUUUUCGGUAGAAGAUGACCUCGCGGCCUAUCAGCUUGUUGGUGAGGUAAUGGCUCACCAAGGCGACGACGGGUAGCCGGCCUGAGAGGGCGACCGGCCACACUGGGACUGAGACACGGCCCAGACUCCUACGGGAGGCAGCAGUGGGGAAUAUUGGGCAAUGGAGGAAACUCUGACCCAGCGACGCCGCGUGCGGGAUGAAGGCCU
rnacentral:rRNA from 1 species